UGCCUCAGUAACGGCGAGUGAAGCGGCAACAGCUCAAAUUUGAAAUCUGGCCCUAGGCCCGAGUUGUAAUUUGCAGAGGAUGCUUUUGGUGAGGUGCCUUCCGAGUUCCCUGGAACGGGACGCCAUAGAGGGUGAGAGCCCCGUCUGGUCGGACACCGAGCCUCUGUAAAGCUCCUUCGACGAGUCGAGUAGUUUGGGAAUGCUGCUCUAAAUGGGAGGUAUAUGUCUUCUAAAGCUAAAUAUUGGCCAGAGACCGAUAGCGCACAAGUAGAGUGAUCGAAAGAUGAAAAGCACUUUGAAAAGAGAGUUAAAUAGCACGUGAAAUUGUUGAAAGGGAAGCGUUUAUGACCAGACUUGGCCCGGUUGAUCAUCCAGCGUUCUCGCUGGUGCACUCUGCCGGUCCAGGCCAGCAUCAGUUCGUCGCGGGGGAUAAAGGCUUCGGGAAUGUGGCUCCUCCGGGAGUGUUAUAGCCCGUUGCGUAAUACCCUGCGGUGGACUGAGGUCCGCGCUUCUGCAAGGAUGCUGGCGUAAUGGUCAUCAACGACCCGUCUUGAAACACGGACCAAGGAGUCGUCUUCGUAUGCGAGUGUUCGGGUGUAAAACCCCUACGCGUAAUGAAAGUGAACGCAGGUGAGAGCUUCGGCGCAUCAUCGACCGAUCCUGAUGUUCUCGGAUGGAUUUGAGUAAGAGCAUACGGGGCCGGACCCGAAAGAAGGUGAACUAUGCCUGUAUAGGGUGAAGCCAGAGGAAACUCUGGUGGAGGCUCGCAGCGGUUCUGACGUGCAAAUCGAUCGUCAAAUAUGGGCAUGGGGGGCGAAAG
rnacentral:rRNA from 1 species